GCCCUGAGGGUCAAGAUGGCGUAGUGGUUAUAGUGUCGGACUAAGACCUGGGAGAGGGACGCUGGUGGCGCUGUGGGUUAAACCACUGAGCCUAGGGCUUGCCAGUCAGAAGGUCGGGGGUUCGAAUCCCCGUGACAGGGUG